AGAGUUUGAUCCUGGCUCAGAUUGAACGCUGGCGGCAGGCUUAACACAUGCAAGUCGAGCGGUAUCAGGAGAAGCUUGCUUCUCGCUGACGAGCGGCGGACGGGUGAGUAAUACUUAGGAAUCUACGUAGUAGUGGGGGAUAGCUCCGGGAAACUGGAGUUAAUACCCCAUACGACCUACGGGAGAAAGGGGGCAACUUGUUGCUCUCGCUAUUAGAUGAGCCUAAGUGGGAUUAGCUAGAUGGUGGGGUAAAGGCCUACCAUGGCGACGAUCUGUACCUGGUCUGACAGGAUGAUGAGCCACACCGGGACUGAGACACGGCCCGGACUCCUACGGGAGGCAGCAGUGGGGAAUAUUGGACAAUGGGGGCAACCCUGAUCCAGCCAUCCCGCGUGAUUGUGAAGAGGGCCUUUUAGUUGUAAAGCACUUUGAGCAGUAGAGACAGACUCCAUGGUUAAUACCCAUACACGAUGACAUCUCUGCAGAGUAAGCACCGGUAACUGUGUCAGCAGCAGCCGCGGAUACUACAGAGGGUGCAAGCGUUAACGAAGAAUUACUGGGCGUAAAGCGAGCAGUAGAUGGCUUUAUAAGUCAGAUGUGAAAGUACCCGGGCUUAACGUAGCCGUCCCCAUCUGAUACUGAAAGGCUAGAGUGGAUGAGAGGAAGGUAGAAUUCCACUUGUAGCGAUGAAAUGAGUAGAGAUGAGGAGGAAUACCGAUGAAGUAGGCAGCCUUGUGGCAUCAUAAUGACAAUGAGCUAAAAAAGCGUGAGCAGCAAACAGGAAAUAAUACCGUAGCGGUCCACGCAAUAAACGAUGUCUAAUUGUCAUGGGGUCUCCUGACGUCUUAGUGACGCAGAUAACGCAAUACGUUGACCGCGUGGGGAGUACGGCCACAAGGUUAAUACUCAAAUGAAUUGACGGGGGGCCGCACAAGCGGGGGAGCAUGUGGUUUAUUUAGAUACUACGAGAAGCACCUUCCGGGGUCGUCACAUAUCUAGAAUCGUGCAGAGAUGCCGCAGUGCGUUCGGGAAUUAGAAUACAGGUGCUGCAUGGCUCUCGUCAGCCCGUGUCGUGAGAUGUUGCACUUAGUCCCGCAUAGAGCGCAACCCUUGUCCUUAGUUACCAGCGGUUUGGCCGGGAACUCUAUGGAUACUGCCAGUGACAAACUGGAGGAAUGCUGGGACCACGUCAAGUCAUCAUGGCCCUAAUGACCAGCGCUACACACGUGCUACAAUGGUAGGUACAGAGGGCAGCUACACAGCGAUCUGAUGCGAAUCUCAAAAAGCCUAUCGUAGUCCAGAUUGGAGUCUGCAACUCGACUCCAUGAGGUAGGAAUCGGUAGUAAUCGCGGAUCAGAAUGCCGCGGUUAAUACGUUCCCGGGCCUUGUACACACUGUCCCUCACACGAUGGGAGUUGUUUGCACCAGAAGUGGGUAGCCUAACCUUUUAGGAUGGCGCUCACCACGGUGUGGUUGAUGACUGGGGUGAAGUCGUAACAAG
rnacentral:rRNA from 1 species